CCUACGGGUGGCAGCAGUGGGGGAUAUUGCACAAUGGGGGGAACCCUGAUGCAGCGACGCCGCGUGGGUGAAGGAGCGUUUCGGCGCGUAAAGCCCUAUCGGCAGGGAAGAAGAUGACGGUACCUGACCAAGAAGCCCCGGCUAACUACGUGCCAGCAGCCGCGGUAAUACGUAGGGGGCAAGCGUUAUCCGGAUUUACUGGGGGUAAAGGGGGCGCAGACGGCAAUGCAAGCCAGGAGUGAAAGCCCGGGGCCCAACCCCGGGACCGCGCUUUGAACUUCAUGGCUGGAGUACCGGAGGGGCAGGGGGAAAUCCUAGUGUAGCGGUGAAAUGCGUAGAUAUUAGGAGGAACAACGGUGGGGAAGGCGGCCUGCUGGACCG
rnacentral:rRNA from 1 species